AUUAUCCUUUAAGACUUAUUGCUCUCCAAUGUGACCUCACAAACAAGAAAUUCCAAGUAAAAAUUCUCUCCAGAGUCAGGCAAAAGGAGAUGGAUGACUUAAAGUUGUCAAGGAUUGACCUGGGUUCUCAGAUUGCUGGAGGAAGGUUUCUCUGAUGUUCCUGAACAUCCAGAGGGCCUGACGGAAGCUGCCUCCAGGAUCAACACCUCUCCCCUUCAUUGGCAAUCUGUGGACGCUGAACUUCCAAACUCACCAUGAAAUGCUCUUGAAGUGAAGGCUGUUCCUUGUCUAAGUACUGGUACUCUGAAAACACUGUAUGACUGGAAAACAAAUGAACAUGGAAAGGCAAAGGAUGACCCACGCUCUGUGUUCAGAGAUCACCAUGACACAAGUGAUCAUGGAUCUCUUUUUGGCAGGCUCAGACAUCACCACUAACACUUCAUGCUGGCCUCUCCUCUAUGUGAUGGUGUACCUGGAAGAACAAGGUGAGAAAUGCAUGGAUUGUACUUAUACAUGUCACUGUCCCUGCUUGUGCCACAGUACUAGGCAAAAUGCCAUUGAGUCAGUUGUCCCAAUCCUGCAGUGUAACGUGGUUGGGGCAUUUUGAGUUAAAAUAAAGCCUACACAUAAAAUUCCUUCCUGGACACUCGCAGCAGAGCCCCCUCCUCGCCCCACA